ensembl:miRNA
GGUCUAGUGGUCCUAAACAUUUCACAAUUGCGCUACAGAACUGUUGAACUGUUAAGAACCACUGGA